UGUGUAGUGAUUUCAGGACCUCAGUAUC
rnacentral:piRNA from 1 species